rnacentral:rRNA from 1 species
UACGAGGGGGGCAAGCGUUGCUCGGAAUUACUGGGCGUAAAGCGCACGUAGGCGGCUUUCUAAGUCGGGGGUGAAAUCCUGGAGCUCAACUCCAGAACUGCCUUCGAUACUGGAGAGCUUGAGUCCGGGAGAGGUGAGUGGAACUGCGAGUGUAGAGGUGAAAUUCGUAGAUAUUCGCAAAGAACACCAGUGGCGAAGGCGGCUCACUGGCCCGGUACUGACGCUCAGGCGGCGAUGAGCCGGUGGGGGAUCAAAACAGGA